rnacentral:rRNA from 1 species
AUGAACGGCGACCAAUCAAUUGUUACAAACACGGCAAAAAUGACAGACAGAAAUUCGUUCCGGAAAUUAUUCAAUAAGCGGCGUGUUAUCGAUAAUAGAAGGAAGGAAACCAACGGAGACAGAACACCACAAAGUCUGCAAGAAGAACGGCAAGAAGAAGAAGAGAGACAAUCACGGCAAAGUCGAAGAAACAAAGAACACACAAAUACGGUUCGCAAGAUGGAGAUCUCUUGCGCCGGCGACGCACCUCAUGCAAAGAUGGCAGCAGCACAUUCAACUCUCACCAGAAGAACCAACCUCCUCAAAAAAGAAGACCCAAGCGGACCAAAAUAUGGAAGACGAACGACGGCAGACACACGCGGAGCAGCUCCAACAGAUUGA